GCCAGGCACAGUGGCACAUGCUUGUAAUCCCAGCUAUUCAGGAGGCUGAGUCAGGAGGAUCUCAAGUUUGAGGACAGCCUAAGCAACUUGGUGAGACCCUGUCUCAA
rnacentral:sRNA from 1 species